rnacentral:siRNA from 1 species
AGAAUCUUGAUGAUGCUG